GGACGGGUGAGUGACACGUGGGAACGUGCCCUUUGGUUCGGAACAACUCAGGGAAACUUGAGCUAAUACCGGAUGUGCCCUUCGGGGGAAAGAUUUAUCGCCAUUGGAGCGGCCCGCGUCUGAUUAGCUAGUUGGUGAGGUAAAGGCUCACCAAGGCGACGAUCAGUAGCUGGUCUGAGAGGAUGAUCAGCCACAUUGGGACUGAGACACGGCCCAAACUCCUACGGGAGGCAGCAGUGGGGAAUCUUGCGCAAUGGGCGAAAGCCUGACGCAGCCAUGCCGCGUGAAUGAUGAAGGUCUUAGGAUUGUAAAAUUCUUUCACCGGGGACGAUAAUGACGGUACCCGGAGAAGAAGCCCCGGCUAACUUCGUGCCAGCAGCCGCGGUAAUACGAAGGGGGCUAGCGUUGCUCGGAAUUACUGGGCGUAAAGGGAGCGUAGGCGGACUGUUAAGUUAGAGGUGAAAGCCCAGGGCUCAACCUUGGAAUUGCCUUUGAUACUGGCAGUCUUGAGUACGGAAGAGGUAUGUGGAACUCCGAGUGUAGAGGUGAAAUUCGUAGAUAUUCGGAAGAACACCAGUGGCGAAGGCGACAUACUGGGUCCGUUACUGACGCUGAGGCUCGAAAGCGUGGGGAGCAAACAGGGAUUAGAUACCCUGGGUAGUCCCACGCCGUAAACGAUGAGUGCUAGUUGUCGGGCAUGCAUGCAUGUCGGUGACGCAGCUAACGCAUUUAAGCACUCCGCCUGGGGAGUACGGUCGCAAGAUUAAAACUCAAAGGAAUUUGACGGGGGCCCGCACAAGCGGGUGGAGCAUGUGGUUUUAAUUCGAAGCAACGCGCAGAAGCUGUACCACCUUUUGACAUG
rnacentral:rRNA from 1 species